rnacentral:tRNA from 1 species
UCCGUGAUAGUUUAGUGGCUAGAGUCACCGUUUGUCGUCAGACAGUACAUGGUAGACCGGGGUUCAAUUCCCCGUCGCGGAG